CAAACAAAAUCCCCUGAGGCAUCCUUUAAUCCAUGUCAAUAUGCAGUAUCACCGUAGGUUUGUCGGAAAAAAAUGCAGUAUCAGAAUGUUAGAAUUGGAUUCGAGCAAAAACAUAAUUGGGAAUCCUAAUCUCACCAAAUGGCAAAUGCUAGCUUCCUUAGCCGAGCUAACAAUAGCUGAUUAGAAGCAGGUUUUUAAAGAUACCUACAAAACAACCUUCACUGUUCACUUUCUGACAAUUUUGCGAUGUUAUUGAGUUCCAUCCGGACUUCCACCACCAUAUAUUUCAAAGUUCACGUCUCUGUAGUAAAAAGAAUCAACUUCAGGUUUGACAAUAUGUAAGAAUUGACAAUUAAAUUCACUAGUCUUGCCGUUCCACAACAGUUAGUGGUAAGGUUCCAGAAAAAAAAAGGAUAGUCAAUUGAUACUGUUGGAAUGAAGGAAAUCAUUGAGCAUUCUAAUCUCUAACAUCAGGGAUACACACAGAGGCAAUAAGGAGUGCUUUGAAUCACCCAUUGACAUAGCUGGUGAAUUCUCGAACUCAACAUAGCUGGUGAAUUACUAACACCUUUUCCAAGUUUCUGUCAGUGAAAAAUCGAGAAAAUUAGAACAUGCAAGGAUGAAGAGGAUCUAGCAGGGAGCAAAGAAAACUGCUAACUGAAACAACUCUGCUUAUAACAGGACCAUACCAUCAUUCUGACAGAGUGACAGUUCAAGACUUGAACACACAACAAGGUGAAUGCUGGCAUGCUGCACACUGGUGAUCAAAUGCAAACAUGCAAAGAUGCUCAGGUGUAGUGAUGAACAAAUGCAAACUUAGCUGCUAUGUUGAGCAAGGUGCUGACUGACCAAGACUACAAGUGUCCAGAGAUUGCAAACAUUUGUAGUUUUAUCAUUAUGCAACUCAAGCAGCAAGUACUGUACGUACAUGAGUAAAAUUCUCUACCAGCAUAAUUCUUUGAUCACUUCUACAUGGGCCUUGUUCUUAUAGCAAAGUAAAUGGACUAAGGUGAUCACUUCUACAGAAUUCUGCAACUACAUCUACAUGGUCGCAAGCAGAGCUCGUGGCUGGCUGGCGCUGCACAUGAUGGCGUUUGAUAACUGAAUCAAAAUUUGUCAUGUUUGAAUUCAGUUUGAUCCGAGUUUGAGCACACAAGAAACGAAUCACAGUUCGAAACUAACGAAUUCAAAUCCGAUGAGGUUGUCCGCCAAAGAAGAUCUUGACAGAAAGGGAAGGCGCGACGGGGAGGAACGUUUGGUAAACAUUAACGGGAGACGGAAGGCGGCGAAAUGCGGAAGGCAGGAGAGAGCCAGAGGGGGGAGGUAGUACUCAAGGGAGGUGCUUGAAGAUGGAGCCAUGGAGGAGACGACGAGGGUGACGGCAUCGAGGCGCCCGUUGUAUGUGGGCGCGGUGCUGCUGCUGCUGCCUGCGCGCUGGCCGCUCGUCGCCGCCUCCAUCUUGUCUGCUAUCUUCUACUCAGUCUGGCGGGGGCCUAGAGGCAGUCUGCUCUGAUCGCCGGGGCGGGCUCGCGGUGGCCGGACUCCGGAGCCGCCAUGAACGGACGGGAAGUGAAACCAGAAACCCGACCUCUCCAGGUUGUGGGAAAUAACAUAGUACCUCGCAAAGCUGCCGCUAUAGGCUACACCGAGGGUGGCGACGACGCCGUCGACAGCUUGGAAGGACAACAUCCCGCCGGAAAUCGCCAUCAACGACUCCAUGGGGAAACCUAACCCUAACACACAUAACUAGACUAGCUAGAUUAGGCCAGGACACCACACCGGACGUCAAUCUAGUGGUUCCCGUCCACCUCCGGCCUCAGGAGAGAUCACCGGAGGGGAGGGACCAGCGAGAUCGACGCCGGGAUCGGAGAGAAAGAAGAGUCGAGAGAGAACGGCGGUCAGCAGCAUGAAGUUUGUUUCUUCAUCAUGAUGGCUGGCACCACGGGCUUCCUUCAUAGGCUGUGGCUCAAGAGGCCGAGAAGAAAGCAUGGCAACGUUUUGCGGCCCACAUCUUUCCCGCAUCAUCGUCACCGCCGGCCCCAAGUUUUACCCCCUGCCGCGCGCGCGCAGUGGAAGAACGAGACCGGGGCGUCGUCCUGCCAUGAACCCCAUGAUGCCAAGCGCCCAACACACACCAAGACCGAGACCGAGCCACCGCGCGAGCCCACCAAACUGAAAUCGCCCCGGUGGAGUAGGCGCGACUUGCUUGAGCCUUGAGGUCCAAGAGGGGGCCGUAGAAUCUGCAGUGAAACACGGGCGCUUCUGCCGGAGCGCACGAGCUUUGGGGCUUUGGG
rnacentral:lncRNA from 1 species